UGGGGAAUCUUGCACAAUGGGGGCAACCCUGAUGCAGCGACGCCGCGUGAGCGAUGAAGCCCUUCGGGGCGUAAAGCUCUUUCGACCGGAACGAUAAUGACGGUACCGGGAGAAGAAGCUGCGGCUAACUACGUGCCAGCAGCCGCGGUAAUACGUAGGCAGCAAGCGUUGUUCGGAGUUACUGGGCGUAAAGAGUGCGUAGGCGGUUUUCUAAGUUCGGUGUGAAAUCUCCCGGCUUAACUGGGAGGGUGCGCCGAAGACUGGGAAGCUGGAGUGUGGGAAAGGCAGGCGGAAUUCCUGGUGUAGCGGUGAAAUGCGUAGAUAUCAGGAUGAACACCGGCGGUGUAGACGGCUUGCUAGACCAUAACUGACGCUGAGGCACGAAAGCGUGGGUAGCAAACA
rnacentral:rRNA from 1 species